rnacentral:rRNA from 1 species
GCUCAGGAUGAACGCUAGCGGCAGGCUUAAUACAUGCAAGUCGUGGGGCAGCAGGUUUGUAGCAAUACAGAUGCUGGCGACCGGCAAACGGGUGCGGAACACGUACAGAACCUUCCUUUGAGCGGGGAAUAGCCCAGAGAAAUUUGGAUUAAUACCCCAUAGUAUAAUGAAGUGGCAUCACUUUAUUAUUAAAGAUUUAUCACUCGAAGAUGGCUGUGCGGCUGAUUAGGUAGUUGGCGGGGUAAAGGCCCACCAAGCCUGCGAUCAGUAACUGGUGUGAGAGCACGACCAGUCACACGGGCACUGAGACACGGGCCCGACUCCUACGGGAGGCAGCAGUAAGGAAUAUUGGUCAAUGGAGGCAACUCUGAACCAGCCAUGCCGCGUGGAGGAUGAAGGUCCUCUGGAUUGUAAACUUCUUUUAUAUGGGACGAAAAAAGGCUUUUCUAAGUCGUCUGACGGUACCAUAUGAAUAAGCACCGGCUAACUCCGUG